rnacentral:tRNA from 1 species
GCCCUAGUAGCUUAGUUUUUAAACGUCGGUCUUGUAAUCCGAAGAGCGAGGUUAAACCCCCUCCUAGCCCC